rnacentral:rRNA from 1 species
GAUGAACGCUGGCGGCGUGCCUAACACAUGCAAGUCGAGCGAGAAACUCAUGAUGGACGCUUCGGUUGAAGUCACGAGUGGAAAGCGGCGGACGGGUGAGUAACGCGUAGGCAACCUGCCCUUUGCAGAGGGAUAGCCUCGGGAAACCGGGAUUAAAACCUCAUAAUACCGCAGUGAGACAUCUCACAGCGGUCAAAGAUUUAUCGGCAAAGGAUUGGCCUGCGUCUGAUUAGUUAGUGGGGGGGGUAACGGCCUACCAAGGCGACGAUCAGUAGCCGACCUGAGAGGGUGAUCGGCCACAUUGGAGCUGAGACACGGUCCAAACUCCUACGGGAGGCAGCAGUGGGGAAUAUUGCACAAUGGGGGAAACCCUGAUGCAGCAACGCCGCGUGAAGGAUGAAGGCCUUUGGGUCGUAAACUUCUGUUCUAAGGGAAGAUAGUGACGGUACCUUAGGAGCAAGUCCCGGCUAACUACGUGCCAGCCGCCGCUGUAA